rnacentral:rRNA from 1 species
CCCAGACAGCCAGGAUGUUGGCUUAGAAGCAGCCAUCAUUUAAAGAAAGCGUAAUAGCUCACUGGUCGAGUCGGCCUGCGCGGAAGAUGUAACGGGGCUAAACCAUGCACCGAAGCUGCGGCAGCGACACUGUGUGUUGUUGGGUAGGGGAGCGUUCUGUAAGCCUGUGAAGGUGGCCUGUGAGGGUUGCUGGAGGUAUCAGAAGUGCGAAUGCUGACAUAAGUAACGAUAAAGCGGGUGAAAAGCCCGCUCGCCGGAAGACCAAGGGUUCCUGUCCAACGUUAAUCGGGGCAGGGUGAGUCGACCCCUAAGGCGAGGCCGAAAGGCGUAGUCGAUGGGAAACGGGUUAAUAUUCCCGUACUUGGUGUUACUGCGAAGGGGGGACGGAGAAGGCUAUGUUGGCCGGGCGACGGUUGUCCCGGUUUAAGCGUGUAGGUGUGUGUUCCAGGUAAAUCCGGUUCACUUUAACACUGAGGCGUGAUGACGAGGCACUACGGUGCUGAAGCAACAAAUGCCCUGCUUCCAGGAAAAGCCUCUAAGCAUCAGGUAACACGAAAUCGUACCCCAAACCGACACAGGUGGUCAGGUAGAGAAUACCAAGGCGCUUGA